rnacentral:rRNA from 1 species
UACGUAGGUGGCAAGCGAUACUCGGAAUCACUAGGCGUAAAGCGCAGGUAGGAGGUUUGGUAAGUCUAUUGUGAAAGCUCCCGGCUUAACUGGGAGAGGUCAAUGGAAACUACCAGGCUAGAGUGCGGUAGAGGUAGCUGGAAUUCCCGGUGUAGCGGUGAAAUGCGUAGAUAUCUGGAGGAACACCGGUGGCGAAGGCGGCAUCCUGGACCAAUACUGACACUGAGGAGCGAAAGCCAGGGGAGCAAACGGG